rnacentral:rRNA from 1 species
CACGUAGGGGGCAAGCGUUGUCCGGAUUUAUUGGGCGUAAAGAGCUCGUAGGCGGUUCGCUAAGUCGGGUGUGAAAACUCUGGGCUCAACUCAGAGACGCCACCCGGAUACUGGCGUGACUCGAGUCCGGUAGGGGAGCAUGGAAUUCCUGGUGGAGCGGUGAAAUGCAUAGAUAUCGGGGAAGAACACCAACGGCGAAAGCACUCCGCUGGGCUGAUACUGACACUGACAGACGAAAGCUAGGGUAGCGAAAGGG